rnacentral:rRNA from 1 species
GAAAGCUACGCUAAUACGCAUACGAUCUACGGAUGAAANCGGGGGAUCGCAAGACCUCGCGCGAUUGGAGCGGCCGAUAUCAGAUUAGGUAGUGGUGAGGUAAAGGCUCACCAAGCCGACGAUCUGUAGCUGGUCUGAGAGGACGACCAGCCACACUGGGACUGAGACACGGCCCAGACUCCUACGGGAGGCAGCAGUGGGGAAUUUUGGACAAUGGGCGCAAGCCUGAUCCAGCAAUGCCGCGUGCAGGAUGAAGGCCUUCGGGUUGUAAACUGCUUUUGUACGGAACGAAACGGUGAGCUCUAAUACAGUUUGCUAAUGACGGUACCGUAAGAAUAAGCACCGGCUAACUACGUG